CGAAGUCAAGCAUCAUUGGGCGCGGUCAGUACUUGGGUGGUUGACCACCUGGGAACACCGCGUGCCGUU